rnacentral:rRNA from 1 species
ACUGCAUCGGGAUAGGACUAGACAUGCUAGUCGAGCGCUUCAAGCCAAAAGAGGCGCGGCAUACAGCUCAGUAACACGUGGCUAAUCUGCCCUUGGGACCGGAACACCCCCGGGAAACUGGGGCUAAUUCUCGAUAGGUGAAGAACUCUGGAAUGAGUCUUUGCCAAAAAGUUGACAGGGUUAUGCUCUCUGACAACGCCCAAGGAUGAGGCCGCGACCGAUCAGGUUGUUGGUGAGGUAAUGGCUCACCAAGCCUUUACCGGUGCGGGCCGUGAGAGCGGGAGCCCGGAGAUGGGCACUGAGACAAGGGCCCAGGCCCUACGGGGCGCAGCAGUCGCGAAAACUUUGCAAUAAGCGAAAGCUUGACAGGGCUAUCCCGAGUGCCAUCCGCUGAGGAAGGCUUUUACCCAGUCUAGAACGCUGGGGGAAUAAGGAGAGGGCAAGUCUGGUGUCAGCCGCCGCGGUAAUACCAGCUCUCCGAGUGGUGUGGAUGUUUAUUGGGCCUAAAGCAUCCGUAGCUGGCUAAGUUAGUCCCUUGUUAAAUCCACCGAAUUAAUCGUUGGAUUGCGGGGGAUACUGCUUGGCUAGGGGACGAGAGAGGCAGACGGUAUUUCCGGGGUAGGGGUGAAAUCCUAUAAUCCCGGGAAGACCACCAGUGGCGAAGGCUGUCUGCUAGAACGCGCCCGACGGUGAGGGAUGAAAGCUGGGGGAGCGAACCGGAUUAGAUACCCGGGUAGUCCCAGCUGUAAACGAUGCAGGCUAGGUGUUUGGACGGCCACGUGCCGUUCUAGUGCCGCAGGGAAGCUGUUAAGCCUGCCGCCUGGGGAGUACGAUCGCAAGAUUGAAACUUAAAGGAAUUGGCGGG